rnacentral:rRNA from 1 species
CACGUAGGGCGCAAGCGUUGUCCGGAAUUAUUGGGCGUAAAGAGCUCGUAGGCGGACUGUUGCGUCCGCUGUGAAAAGCUGGGGCUUAACCCUGGCCUUGCAGUGGAUACGGGCAGACUAGAGGUAGGUAGGGGAGAAUGGAAUUCCCGGUGUAGCGGUGAAAUGCGCAGAUAUCAGGAGGAACACCGGUGGCGAAGGCGGGUCUCUGGGCCGAUACUGACGCUGAGGAGCGAAAGCGUGGGGAGCAAACAGG